rnacentral:rRNA from 1 species
CCGGAGAAUGUUAUCACGGGAGACACACGGCGGGUGCUAACGUCCGUCGUGAAGAGGGAAACAACCCAGACCGCCAGCUAAGGUCCCAAAGUCAUGGUUAAGUGGGAAACGAUGUGGGAAGGCCCAGACAGCCAGGAUGUUGGCUUAGAAGCAGCCAUCAUUUAAAGAAAGCGUAAUAGCUCACUGGUCGAGUCGGCCUGCGCGGAAGAUGUAACGGGGCUAAACCAUGCACCGAAGCUGCGGCAGCGAACGUAUCACUUAAAGCGAUUCAGCGGGUUACGAUUGACGGAGCGAAGCGACGUCAAAGCGUAUACAAAGUCGAGUCGGUUUAAGGAUACGUUCGUUGGGUAGGGGAGCGUUCUGUAAGCCUGYGAAGGUGKSYYGUGAGGSWUGCUGGAGGUAUCAGAAGUGCGAAUGCUGACAUAAGUAACGAUAAAGCGGGUGAAAAGCCCGCUCGCCGGAAGACCAAGGGUUCCUGUCCAACGUUAAUCGGGGCAGGGUGAGUCGACCCCUAAGGCGAGGCCGAAAGGCGUAGUCGAUGGGAAACGGGUUAAUAUUCCCGUACUUGGUGUUACUGCGAAGGGGGGACGGAGAAGGCUAUGUUGGCCGGGCGACGGUUGUCCCGGUUUAAGCGUGUAGGCUGGUUUUCCAGGCAAAUCCGGAAAAUCAAGGCUGAGGCGUGAUGACGAGGCACUACGGUGCUGAAGCAACAAAUGCCCUGCUUCCAGGAAAAGCCUCUAAGCAUCAGGUAACAUCAAAUCGUACCCCAAACCGACACAGGUGGUCAGGUAGAGAAUACCAAGGCGCUUGAGAGAACUCGGGUGAAGGAACUAGGCAAAAUGGUGCCGUAACUUCGGGAGAAGGCACGCUGACACGUAGGUGAAGUGAUUUACUCAUGGAGCUGAAGUCAGUCGAAGAUACCAGCUGGCUGCAACUGUUUAUUAAAAACACAGCACUGUGCAAACACGAAAGUGGACGUAUACGGUGUGACGCCUGCCCGGUGCCGGAAGGUUAAUUGAUGGGGUCAGCGCAAGCGAAGCUCCUGAUCGAAGCCCCGGUAAACGGCGGCCGUAACUAUAACGGUCCUAAGGUAGCGAAAUUCCUUGUCGGGUAAGUUCCGACCUGCACGAAUGGCGUAAUGAUGGCCAGGCUGUCUCCACCCGAGACUCAGUGAAAUUGAACUCGCUGUGAAGAUGCAGUGUACCCGCGGCAAGACGGAAAGACCCCGUGAACCUUUACUAUAGCUUGACACUGAACAUUGAGCCUUGAUGUGUAGGAUAGGUGGGAGGCUUUGAAG